rnacentral:rRNA from 1 species
GAUGAACGCUAGCGGCAGGCUUAAUACAUGCAAGUCGAGGGGCAGCAUGAUUGUAGCAAUACGAUUGAUGGCGACCGGCAAACGGGUGCGGAACACGUACACAACCUCCCAAUAAGUGGGGAAUAGCCCAGAGAAAUUUGGAUUAAUACCCCGUAACAUAACGAUGUGGCAUCACAUUGUUAUUAUAGAUUUUUCGCUUAUUGAUGGGUGUGCGGCUGAUUAGAUAGUUGGCGGGGUAACGGCCCACCAAGGCUACGAUCAGUAGCUGAUGUGAGAGUAUGAUCAGCCGCACGGGGACUGAGACACGGGCCCGACUCCUACGGGAGGCAGCAGUAAGGAAUUUUGGACAAUGGACUCAAGGCUGAUCCAGCCAUGCCGCGUGAAGGAUUGAGGUCCUCUGGAUUGUAAACUACUUUUAUAAGGGACGAAAAAAGGCUUUUCUAAGUCGUCUGACGGUACCUUAUGAAUAAGCACCGGCUAACUCCGUGCCAGCCGCCGCCGUAACAC